GGGAUGUGAUGAGUGGUCAUAAGUCGUAUUUCUGUUUUAUAACAGAAAUAGCAUGCGAGAUGGGUGUCCGCCCAAAACUCGUUACGACAAAAUUGGGCACUCCAAUUUAUAUCAAUCUGAUCCC
rnacentral:snoRNA from 1 species